rnacentral:lncRNA from 1 species
AAAUGAGAGCACCCAAAGUAAGCAAAAGAACAGAGUGACACUGUGACAUAGAUCGAGUGGCAUCUAAAUAAUGUAAAGUAAAGUGACACUAGAGUUAGUGUGAAGCAAAGAAUCGAAGUGAUAUAAAGAAUGAUGACGAUCACUAAAGCUAAAGCAAAGAGAGUAAUAAAGAACGUAUAAAAAAAAAUAAAGAACGUGUAAAGCUAAAGAAUGUGAUUGCUAGAGUUAGCAAAAGUAAAGGAAAUGCAAAGAGCAAUGAUUGCUAGAAUGGCAACAUAAAGUGAUGUAAUGAACACUAGAGUUAGUGUAAAGUCAAGAUUGAACAUACAAUCCUUUGAGUUAAGGAUUUCGAUCAUACUUGCUAUGAGUUCCGUGCUCGAUGGCGGUCGCUCCCCCUCGGGCGAUGCGCUCCGGAGUUAUGCAUCCGGGUUGGAGUAAACCCGUAAGGACGGUCCUAGCUGGUGAGUUCCUGCGAUGAUGGACUUAAUGUGAAGCAAGUUAAUGUGGCGAAACCCCCGGGUUAGCCUUAAUGAUUAAAGAGCAAAGAGUAAAGAACAAAGAGCAAAGAACAAAGUGUAAAGUGCAAAGAACUAAAGGACAUGCAUAACCUGCAUUUAUUUAAUGUUGAGCAUAAUUCUUGCUAUUUGUUCAGGCAUAUUAGCAUUAAAUAUAGUUUGGUUACUAUUUACAGCCUAUUUCUUCUAUUAUGUCUGAGUUAGUCCUAGUGGGAAAGUCGUUGAUGUUGAGGCCGAACCCACUGGAAACUUUGUUGUAGUUCUCACCCCACUAUUUCCACAGAGCCGGGACCGAGCGAGCCGGCGAGCGACCGAGGUAAAGGUAUCGCGCCUUAGUCAGAGGCCACCAAAGUUGGGUUACAUUUUGUUAGUAGCUACCCCAUGUUCAUCUUUUGUACUUGAUGAUUAGUAAUGUAAAGAAAAGAAUGUAAAGCUUAUUUUGAGGUAAAUGUAAUGUAAGAAAGAAAUGAUGAAAUGAUGUAAUGAAUGUAAGAAUUCGAUAAAUUACUAGAUGGAUGCAAUGUAUAUGAUCUAAAAUGAAUCAUAUUACUUGUGAAUGUUUAGUUUCCUUUUUCUUUCACUAAUGGCUAUUGCUUACCCUCGUGUAAGCCGUUUGUGUAUGUUUCCGCUAGUGCUUUUCUCUAAUGAUG